rnacentral:rRNA from 1 species
CCUACGGGAGGCAGCAGUGGGGAAUCUUAGACAAUGGGGGCAACCCUGAUCUAGCCAUGCCGCGUGAGUGAUGAAGGCCCUAGGGUCGUAAAGCUCUUUCGCCAGGGAUGAUAAUGACAGUACCUGGUAAAGAAACCCCGGCUAACUCCGUGCCAGCAGCCGCGGUAAUACGGAGGGGGUUAGCGUUGUUCGGAAUUACUGGGCGUAAAGCGUACGUAGGCGGAUUAGUCAGUCAGAGGUGAAAUCCCAGGGCUCAGCCCUGGAACUGCCUUUGAUACUGCUAGUCUUGAGUUCGAGAGAGGUGAGUGGAAUUCCGAGUGUAGAGGUGAAAUUCGUAGAUAUUCGGAGGAACACCAGUGGCGAAGGCGGCUCACUGGCUCGAUACUGACGCUGAGGUACGAAAGUGUGGGGAGCAAACAGGAUUAGAUACCCUGGUAGUCCACACCGUAAACGAUGAAUGCCAGACGUCGGGCAGCAUGCUGUUCGGUGUCACACCUAACGGAUUAAGCAUUCCGCCUGGGGAGUACGGUCGCAAGAUUAAAACUCAAAGGAAUUGACGG